AAUCCGUGAUGUGGGCAUAUUUGCAUCAUGUCCUUAUAUCACUCCCAUGCGUCAAAAAGAGAUUUAGUGUCCUUUUGUCUAAAUCCAUUGAUUUGGGCUCAUAAU